rnacentral:lncRNA from 8 species
GGAUCACAGAAGCAUAGAGCCAUUACUUCUAGCACCAAAGUAUUGUUGUGAUGGGGCAUGGAUAGGUCUGCACAUUAGUGUGCUGGAGGCACCUCCAGGUGAGAUGGUGUCGUAGUGGUGACAGGUGGGCUAAUAAGCAGACUAAUGGACCCUCCAUCACCAGAGGAGGGCGCUGUCACACUCUCCUGUCCCAGUCCAGACAGCUGCAGCGUCUCUGAGCCCAGCCUCCUGGAAGACAGGUGGAUUUGUUUUGGCCUGUGACUGACAGAUGGGAAAAUUGGUAAAGACAGCCCACUGAGGCUGAACCUAUGAGGCUAGGAGACUCCUAACUGUUCUCCAAUCACUCCUCUGUGGGCACACAAUGGGAAUAAGAACCGCGUUAUGUCUGGGAAUAGUCCAUGAAGGUAACUCACAUUGGCGUGGGUAUUAUUUUGGAUCCCCAAAGGAAAAUCAAAGAAAAUAAGGAGGUUUGUUGUUUUCACACGUGACGGUAUUAUUUAAAUCAGUAUUAAAUGUUGUAUUUUAGUCAAAGUUUCUAUGAUUGAGAAGCAACAUUUCUUCACCAAUGAAAAAUCCAGAUCACCAACUGAACACAUUUGCCAAUUUCUUUUGUUUGUGCACAAUUUAGUUUCUUUUCUCACCAACCACUUUAUUAUAGCCAAUCUGUGCGUAGCUCAAAUGCAUGGGACUGGAGAGCUAUUCAUCAUCGGAACCCAUUCUACCCACUGCUGGAGACAUAGCAACAAAUGUCUCUGUUUUCUUUCUACUCUGAUAUAGAGAAGGGGGAAGGAGUUGCAGGACCAAACCAAAGUGAUCAUUCUGCUGUUUGGGAGAAAUUACCCUCAUCAGUCAUAAGGAGAUGCACAGCUGCCUAAGAAGAUCUGUUGGAGAGGGGCUUGUGUUGCUGGCAGAACUGCACACAGCCUCAGAGUUCUCGCUGUGCCAGCCUCCCGCUCGCAUUUUGUUAACCGCAAGAGUUUCACGGUCAUCAACCAAUGCUGGCCUCGAGGCUGUCAUUUCACUCAGUGUGGAGCUCGCCCGCGGCUCUGCUGCCGUUCAGCCCCACAAACUCCCAGCCGGCCUCGGUGGGGUACAGAGUUGCUCUCCACACACACACACACACACACACACACACACACACACACACACACACACACACACACACACACACACACACACACACACACACACGUGCAUGCUCAGCAUAAGGCAGGUCGUUUCAGCAAUUACAGGAACAUGGCAGAACACAAUGAAGCAGGGUCCCGCCAUCAGGAGGGAAAUGGAGAGAGACCAGGAAAAAUGCUGA